UGUGCUGACGAUAUUAUUGGGCCUAAAGCGUCCGUAGCCGGCCACGAAGGUUCAUCGGGAAAUCCGCCAGCUCAACUGGCGGGCGUCCGGUGAAAACCACGUGGCUUGGGACCGGAAGGCUCGAGGGGUACGUCCGGGGUAGGAGUGAAAUCCCGUAAUCCUGGACGGACCACCGAUGGCGAAAGCACCUCGAGAAAACGGAUCCGACCGUGAGGGACGAAAGCUAGGGUCUCGAACCGGAUUAGAUACCCGGGUAGUCCUAGCUGUAAACGAUGCUCGCUAGGUGUGGCAGGGCUACGAGCCUGUGCUGUGCCGUACGGAAGCCGAGAGCCGAGCCGCCAGGGAAGUACGUCCGCCAGGAUGACACUUAUUGGAAUUGGCGGGGGAGCGCUACGACCGGAGGAGCCUGCGGUUUAAUUGCCUUAACGCCGGAAAUACCGGCAGCUCAAGUGAUGACCGAUAUUAUUGGGCCUAAAGCGUCCGUAGCCGGCCACGAAGGUUCAUCGGGAAAUCCGCCAGCUCAACUGGCGGGCGUCCGGUGAAAACCACGUGGCUUGGGACCGGAAGGCUCGAGGGGUACGUCCGGGGUAGGAGUGAAAUCCCGUAAUCCUGGACGGACCACCGAUGGCGAAAGCACCUCGAGAAGACGGAUCCGACGGUGAGGGACGAAAGCUAGGGUCUCGAACCGGAUUAGAUACCCGGGUAGUCCUAGCUGUAAACGAUGCUCGCUAGGUGUGGCACACGCUACGAGCCUGUGCUGUGCCGUAGGGAAGCCGAGAAGCGAGCCGCCUGGGAAGUACGUCCGCAAGGAUGAAACUUAAAUGAAUUGGCGGGGGAGCACUACAACCGGACGAGCCUGCUGUUUAAUGAUCCCCCGCCCCCGGAAUAU
rnacentral:rRNA from 1 species